UGUCCAGAGUGAAGUGAGGUUUAGUCUGUAAGGAAGAAGGUGAAGGUGACAGUCAAUUUCAUGAAGGGUACACAACAGCCUGCUACAGAAAGGAAAGAGAGAAAAGAUGGAAGGACAAAAGGAAGAAUUCACUCCUUUGAGGCACAAUAUUGUGCCUUCAAGAUACCAAGUUUAAAAAGAGAAUACUCUUUAAUAAGGUAAGAAGACUGGUGGUGCUGCUGGAAUAAAAGGAGUGAUGGAAGACAGAUGACGGUGUGAGGAGAAAAGGUAAGAACAAAGUCUUUAAUAGCAGUUUGGAGGAGAAAAUGCCCUUUACUUAGGAGCGAGGUCUUAGAACACUGAAAUCAGUGUUUGCAAAGGACAAGAGACCCAGAGGAGGUCCACUUAAUGCUAUUCCAAAUCUCAAGCCAACAACCUCCCACCCGCUUGAUAUCUUUCAGCAUUCU